UACGUAGGUGACCAGCGUUGUCCGGAUUUACUGGGCGUAAAGAGCGCGCAGGCGGUCGUUCAAGUCGAGUGUGAAAGCCCCCGGCUCAACUGGGGAGGGUCAUUCGAUACUGAUCGACUCGAAGGCAGGAGAGGGAGGCGGAAUUCCCGGUGUAGUGGUGAAAUGCGUAGAUAUCGGGAGGAACACCAGUGGCGAAGGCGGCUUCCUGGCCUGUUCUUGACGCUGAGGCGCGAAAGCUAGGGGAGCAAACGGG
rnacentral:rRNA from 1 species